GACGAACGCUGGCGGCGUGCCUAACACAUGCAAGUCAACUUGAAGGAAGGAGCAAUCUGACCUGAUGGUGGCGCAAGGGUGCGUAACGCGUAAGUAACUUGCCCAAGGUAAGGAAUAACGUCGAGAAAUCGGCGCUAAUACCUCAUAAUGCAGCGGACCCGCAUGGGUAUGUUGUUAAAGGUUUACCGCCUUGGGAUAGGCUUGCGUCUGAUUAGCUAGUUGGUGUGGUAACGGCACACCAAGGCUACGAUCAGUAACUGGUCUGAGAGGAUGAUCAGUCGCACUGGAACUGAGACACGGUCCAGACUCCUACGGAGGCAGCAGUGAGGAUAUUGGGCAAUGCACGAAAGUGUGACCCAGCAACGCCGCGUGGAGGAUGAAGGUAUUCUAUAUCGUAAACUCCUGUGAGAG
rnacentral:rRNA from 1 species